GUUCAGGUGGAUGAUGCUUGGCUCGAGACCAUUCAAUAUGAUCAUUGUGAUGAUGAUGAUGAUGAUGAUAAUGAUAAUGAUAAUGAUGUCGGACCAGGCUUCAUUCCCCUCAAC
rfam:Brassica oleracea var. oleracea cultivar TO1000 chromosome C7, whole genome shotgun sequence